rnacentral:rRNA from 1 species
GACGAACGCUGGCGGCGUGCCUAAUACAUGCAAGUAGAACGCUGAAGGAGGAGCUUGCUCUUCUGGAUGAGUUGCGAACGGGUGAGUAACGCGUAGGUAACCUGCCUGGUAGCGGGGGAUAACUAUUGGAAACGAUAGCUAAUACCGCAUAACAGUAGAUGUUGCAUGACAUUUACUUAAAAGGUGCAAUUGCAUCACUACCAGAUGGACCUGCGUUGUAUUAGCUAGUUGGUGGGGUAACGGCUCACCAAGGCGACGAUACAUAGCCGACCUGAGAGGGUGAUCGGCCACACUGGGACUGAGACACGGCCCAGACUCCUACGGGAGGCAGCAGUAGGGAAUCUUCGGCAAUGGACGAAAGUCUGACCGAGCAACGCCGCGUGAGUGAAGAAGGGUUUCGGAUCGUAAAGCUCUGUUGUAAGAGAAGAACGAGUGUGAGAGUGGAAAGUUCACACUGUGACGGUAUCUUACCAGAAAGGGACGGCUAACUACGUG